UUAGUGAGUAGGAAGGUACAAUGGUAUGCGUAGAAUUGUUUGGCGUAAGCCUUUAUGGAGCUGCCAUUGGCACAGAUCUUGGUGGUAGUAGCAAAUAAUCGAAUGAGAUCUUGGAGGACUGAAGUGGAGAAGGGUUUCGUGUGAACAGUGGUUGAUCACGAGUUAGUCGGUCCUAAGUUCAAGGCGAAAGCCGAAAAUUUUCAAGUAAAAAAUCAGUGAGUAAUAUUGUCAAAUCUUUUAUGAUUUUUAAAUACUUGAAUAAUUUUGAACGAAAGGGAAUACGGUUCCAAUUCCGUAACCUGUUGAGUAUCCGUUUGUUAUUAAAUAUGGGCCUCGUGCUCAUCCUGGCAACAGGAACGACCAUAAAGAAGCCGUCGAGAGAUAUCGGAAGAGUUUUCUUUUCUGUUUUAUAGCCGUACUACCAUGGAAGUCUUUCGCAGAGAGAUAUGGUAGAUGGGCUAGAAGAGCAUGACAUAUACUGUUGUGUCGAUAUAUUCUCCUCGGACCUUGAAAAUUUAUGGUGGGGACACGCAAACUUCUCAACAGGCCGUACCAAUAUCCGCAGCUGGUCUCCAAGGUGAAGAGUCUCUAGUCGAUAGAAUAAUGUAGGUAAGGGAAGUCGGCAAAUUAGAUCCGUAACUUCGGGAUAAGGAUUGGCUCUGAAGAUUGAGAUAGUCGGGCUUGAUUGGGAAACAAUAACAUGGUUUAUGUGCUCGUUCUGGGUAAAUAGAGUUUCUAUCAUUUAUGGUAGUUACUUGUUCCCCGGAUAGUUUAGUUACGUAGCCAAUUGUGGAACUUUCUUGCUAAAAUUUUUAAGAAUACUAAUUGGGUUAAACCAGUUAGUUCUUAUUAAUUAUAACGAUUAUCAAUUAAUCGGACGGACUUGGGGAAUCCGACUGUCUAAUUAAAACAAAGCAUUGUGAUGGCCCUAGCGGGUGUUGACACAAUGUGAUUUCUGCCCAGUGCUCUGAAUGUCAAAGUGAAGAAAUUCAAGUAAGCGCGGGUCAACGGCGGGAGUAACUAUGAGUUAACUAUAAGUUAACUUUAUAUCGCAUCUUUAGAUAUAAGCAAAGCAUUUGACUCGGUGUCUCAUGCAGCAGUUAGCGCCACGCUAACUGCAUAUGGUGCCCCUAAAGAAUUCGUCGACUACGUACAAAAUUCGUACGAGGUCUGUGGCACAACGCUCAAUGGGGACGGAUGGAGAUCAGAGGAAUUCAUACCUGCUCGAGGUGUCAGACAGGGUGACCCGCUAUCUCCCAUAAUAUUCAACUUGAUCAUCGAUCAGUUGCUUAGGUCCUACCCCAAUGAGAUUGGUGCCACAAUCGGAGAUCACACAACAAACGCGGCCGCGUUCGCAGAUGAUAUUGUCUUAUUUGCGGAAACUCGUUUAGGCCUUCAAACAAUGCUAGACACGACUGUCGAUUUUCUAUCUUCAGUCGGGCUUACCCUUAACUCGGAUAAAUGUUUUACAGUUGGAAUAAAGGGGCAACCGAAACAGAAGUGUACUGUGGUCAUCCCAGAGACCUUCCGUAUCGGUUCGCGCUCGUGUCCCGCAUUGAAGCGCACAGACGAGUGGAAGUAUUUAGGCAUAACAUUCACUGCACAAGGGAGGACCAGGUACAGUCCAGCCGACGACCUAGGUCCGAAGCUGUUGAGGCUGACAAGGUCCCCCCUAAAACCACAACAGAAAUUGUUCGCACUCAGAACAGUUCUUAUCCCACAACUUUACCAUAAGCUAACCCUAGGUGGUGUGAUGAUAGGUGUUCUGAGAAAGUGUGACAUACUGGUACGUUCGACCGUAAGGAAGUGGUUAGGACUUCUUCUGGACGUGUCAACUGCAUUCUUCCAUGCUCCUCAUAUAUAUGGGAGCCUCGGAAUCCCUUCAGUUCGUUGGGUAGCGCCAAUGCUACGUAUGAAAAGAUUGAGCAAUAUUAAGUGGGCCCACCUCGCGCAAUCCGAGGCGGCCAGCUCAUUUCUUACCGACGAAUUGAAUAAGGCCCGGGGUAGAACUCUGGCUGGACUGAAUGAGUUGACAUCGCGUACAGAGAUCGAAACGUACUGGGCGAACAGGUUGCAUAUGUCUGUUGAUGGUCGCGGCUUACGUGAAGCGGGACUUUUUCGUCCCCAACACGGCUGGGUGUGUCAGCCCACGCGUUUGCUAACAGGUCAAGAUUACCGAAACGGUAUCAAGCUGCGAAUAAAUGCCCUACCAUCGAGGUCUCGUACCACGAGGGGCAGAAAUGAAUUGGAACGGCAAUGUCGUGCAGGUUGUGAUGCUCCCGAAACAACAAACCACAUCCUGCAAAAUUGUUACCGUACGCAUGGGAGGCGGGUAGCAAGACAUAACUGUGUAGUCAAUAACCUUAAGAGGAUUCUUGAGGAGAAGGGCCACACAGUGCACGUCGAACCAAGUUUGCAGCUGGGAACCUCGGUAAGUAAACCAGACCUGGUGUGUAUCCGUGACAAUCACGCUUGCGUGAUUGAUGCGCAGAUUAUAACGGAUGGACUGUUUCUCGAAGAUGUGCACCAUCGCAAAGUUGAGAAAUAUAAAAGACCGGAAGUUAUAUCUGCACUGCGGAGAGAAUUCGGAGUGUCGGGCAACGUCGAAGUCCUAUCCGCGACGUUAAACUGGCGUGGGAUCUGGAGCAAUCAAUCCGUUAGAAGAUUGAUAGCAAAGGGUCUCAUCUCAUCCGGUGACAGCAAUGUCAUCAGCGCCAGAGUGGUAACAGGCGGACUAUAUUGCUUCAGACAGUUCAUGUAUCUCGCAGGUUACACUCGAGAUUGGACUUAGCCUAUACACUAUGUUGGAGAGAAGACGCUUGCUACCUAGGCAUAAUGUGAAAUUAGGUAUAAACAUCGUGGUUGUAAAACUUGAGGUGGAUUUUUAGUACGUAUGCGUGAUUACUUCGUAAUCAUGAAUCGUGCAUGCUAGUUGGGUUUGGCCUCCACUAGUAUCUUUGAAGAAUUUCCUUCCUCAGCGAUCAAAAAAAAAAAAAAAAUAGCCAAAUGCCUCGUCAUCUAAUUAGUGACGCGCAUGAAUGGAUUAACGAGAUUCCUACUGUCCCUAUCUACUCAGUCGCUUUCUAACUGUCGU
rnacentral:ncRNA from 1 species